GGGUGCUUGCAUCAUGAUUUACAUUUGAGUGAGUGGCGAACUGGUGAGUAACACGUGGGAAACCUGCCCAGAAGCGGGGGAUAACACCUGGAAACAGAUGCUAAUACCGCAUAACAACUUGGACCGCAUGGUCCGAGCUUGAAAGAUGGCUUCGGCUAUCACUUUUGGAUGGUCCCGCGGCGUAUUAGCUAGAUGGUGGGGUAACGGCUCACCAUGGCAAUGAUACGUAGCCGACCUGAGAGGGUAAUCGGCCACAUUGGGACUGAGACACGGCCCAAACUCCUACGGGAGGCAGCAGUAGGGAAUCUUCCACAAUGGACGAAAGUCUGAUGGAGCAACGCCGCGUGAGUGAAGAAGGGUUUCGGCUCGUAAAACUCUGUUGUUAAAGAAGAACAUAUCUGAGAGUAACUGUUCAGGUAUUGACGGUAUUUAACCAGAAAGCCACGGCUAACUACGUGCCAGCAGCCGCGGUAAUACGUAGGUGGCAAGCGUUGUCCGGAUUUAUUGGGCGUAAAGCGAGCGCAGGCGGUUUUUUAAGUCUGAUGUGAAAGCCUUCGGCUCAACCGAAGAAGUGCAUCGGAAACUGGGAAACUUGAGUGCAGAAGAGGACAGUGGAACUCCAUGUGUAGCGGUGAAAUGCGUAGAUAUAUGGAAGAACACCAGUGGCGAAGGCGGCUGUCUGGUCUGUAACUGACGCUGAGGCUCGAAAGUAUGGGUAGCAAACAGGAUUAGAUACCCUGGUAGUCCAUACCGUAAACGAUGAAUGCUAAGUGUUGGAGGGUUUCCGCCCUUCAGUGCUGCAGCUAACGCAUUAAGCAUUCCGCCUGGGGAGUACGGCCGCAAGGCUGAAACUCAAAGGAAUUGACGGGGGCCCGCACAAGCGGUGGAGCAUGUGGUUUAAUUCGAAGCUACGCGAAGAACCUUACCAGGUCUUGACAUACUAUGCAAAUCUAAGAGAUUAGACGUUCCCUUCGGGGACAUGGAUACAGGUGGUGCAUGGUUGUCGUCAGCUCGUGUCGUGAGAUGUUGGGUUAAGUCCCGCAACGAGCGCAACCCUUAUUAUCAGUUGCCAGCAUUAAGUUGGGCACUCUGG
rnacentral:rRNA from 2 species